rnacentral:rRNA from 1 species
CCUACACAUGCAGUCGAGCGGUAGAGAGGUGCUUGCACCUCUUGAGAGCGGCGGACGGGUGAGUAAUGCCUAGGAAUCUGCCUGGUAGUGGGGGAUAACGCUCGGAAACGGACGCUAAUACCGCAUACGUCCUACGGGAGAAAGCAGGGGACCUUCGGGCCUUGCGCUAUCAGAUGAGCCUAGGUCGGAUUAGCUAGUUGGUGGGGUAAUGGCUCACCAAGGCGACGAUCCGUAACUGGUCUGAGAGGAUGAUCAGUCACACUGGAACUGAGACACGGUCCAGACUCCUACGGGAGGCAGCAGUGGGGAAUAUUGGACAAUGGGCGAAAGCCUGAUCCAGCCAUGCCGCGUGUGUGAAGAAGGUCUUCGGAUUGUAAAGCACUUUAAGUUGGGAGGAAGGGCAGUUACUUAAUACGUGACCGC